UCCCAUCUGCCAGCCCAAGCGCAGCCAGCGCCACGGAGUGUGCCUGCAAGGUGGAGAGGCAGCUGCAGAAUAAAUCCCUGGGUCUUUUUCCCCUCCGGUGCAAGGAGUCACCCCGAGCCGCUUGCUGUGCUGGCCGGGGGCACGGCCGCGGUCCUGCUCACCUGAUUUAUUCUCUCUGCUCAGCACACAGAGAAGGGGAAUUCUUCACGGGGAGAAACGUUGGCAGCCCCAAGCCGUCCCCUGGAAGCAGCCAGCGCUUGGUGCGAGCGUUCAUUCAAAGGAGCAGGGAGAGAAAGGAAAAAGCUGUAGUAGGGAAAGAGGAAGAUUUAAAAAAAAAAAAAAGCAGACACCUCCGAGGCGCUUGGGAAGCUGGAAGGCAGCGAGGCAGUCGGGAUUUCUGGUCUGAGGCUGGGACGGAGACCCGCGGAGCUGGUGCGAGGGGAGUUUUGCAUAUUCAGAAAAGUAAACAGAAGAAUCAGCCUUGUUUUUUUUCUUUUUUUUUUUUUCUUUCAGAAUUACAGGAACCAGAGAUGGAAAAGACCUAUUAACUCAUCUUUCCGUUCCCCUCCAGGGCAGAACAGGAUUGCUCCCUGGAGGAGAUUAUUUUUAGCACUCUGUUGAGCACGGUUUUUGAUGUCUCAUGAGAUGGGGGGGGGGGGGGAGUUCUUUUCCAGGGAUUUAGAUGUAAGAACGAUAAACCAGGUUCCUCCAAAGGAAGGCUUGACCCAGAGAUGAAACGAGGAUCAAAGCUUUGCUCUGAGGUUCAAAAAUGUUUGCCUGCAUGUUUUCCUCUCUCUGUAACGUGUUUCUGCAUCUCUCCACAGCGUGCUUUGCCUGGGAAGGAAGCAGAGGCAGCGAAGCCCCGGCUCUCCGGGGAUUUUUGCUCCUAGGGAAAGGGAGAAACGCGACGAUUUCUCUGGAAGAAGCUUUGGUUGGGCCAUUGCAUUUGUGGGGAGAGAAAGAGGAAUGUCACAUCUGCUAGGUGACCGACACAUGUCCCCAGUGCCCUAUAGGCUCAGCAGGAGGCCAGUAAUUCAGGUUGCAGACAAGGCCCCAUUGACUCUGCUCCCAGCGCAGAGCGGUUCAGUUGCGUUGGCGCUGGAAAAUCGUCUGCUGCCCCUGCAGCCGGGGCUGGGGG